rnacentral:rRNA from 1 species
CGCGUAGGUGGUAGUGAAAGUCUAUGGUGGAAUCUUAGGGCUUAACCCUAAAACUGCCUUGGAAACUUCAUUACUUGAGUCAGUGAGGGGAGGGUAGAAUUCCUGGUGUAGCGGUGAAAUGCGUAGAUAUCAGGAGGAAGGCCGGUGGCGAAGGCGGCCCUCUGGCGCUGAACUGACACUGAGGCGCGAAAGCGUGGGUAGCAAACAGGAUUAGAUACCCUGGUAGUCCACGCCCUAAACGGUGGGUACUAGGUGUAGGGCUCGUAAGGGUUCUGUGCCGAAGGGAAACCAUUAAGUACCCCGCCUGGGGAGUACGGCCGCAAGGUUGAA